rnacentral:rRNA from 1 species
CGAAAGCCUGACGGAGCAAGACCGCGUGAGGGAGGAAGGCUCUUGGGUUGUAAACCUCUUUUCUUGGGGAAGAACGCAAUGACGGUACCCAAGGAAUCAGCAUCGGCUAACUCCGUGCCAGCAGCCGCGGUAAUACGGGGGAUGCAAGCGUUAUCCGGAAUUAUUGGGCGUAAAGCGUCCGCAGGUGGCAUUUCAAGUCUGCUGUCAAAGACCGGGGCUUAACCCUGGAAAGGCAGUGGAAACUGAAACGCUAGAGUGUCGUAGGGGUAGAGGGAAUUCCUGGUGUAGCGGUGAAAUGCGUAGAGAUCAGGAAGAACAUCGGUGGCGAAAGCGCUCUACUGGACGACAACUGACACUCAGGGACGAAAGCUAGGGGAGCGAAUGGGAUUAGAU